UAGGAGGCGGGAGAGGCAAGCGGUACUCACGUGGGUAGGGGUAAAAUCCUUUGAUCCAUUGAAGACCACCAGUGGCGAAGGCGGCUUGCCAGAACGCGCUCGACGGUGAGGGAUGAAAGCUGGGGGAGCAAACCGGAUUAGAUACCCGGGUAGUCCCAGCUGUAAACGAUG
rnacentral:rRNA from 1 species